UUUCACAAUGAAUUAAUGGCGCUUAAUUUAACACUGCAUCAACAAACCGUACCGCCAAAGGAAUACCAAAUAGAUGUUGCCUCUAAGCUCUCGUCUCAUUGGAUGCCAGCCUGGGGUCUGAUUCGAAGUGAGACAGCACUUCUCUUUCCCUAAACUGUAAAUUCGCCCAAGGAGCAUAAAUCGAUGUUUUUGUAGAGAUGCUUGCUAAAUCCUCCACUCUCUAAAGAAGAUGGCAACAGCUGUGACCUCUUGAAGUCUUCAGGGAAUCAUUCCCGUCGCAUUCUGGGGCAGGUGGCUUUCAUUUGCACAGGUGUAUGCUUGUUUUAAAGGCAGCCAGAGAAGGAGGGAUAAAUCGUUCCGUGGAGCUCCUUUGUCACCAAAACAGCUCUCAGAAAGCACCAGCCCGGGCCUCUGCUCCUCCACACAGAUGGUGGCGUGUUCAAAUCAAGGCCACCGCAGUAAAAUCAACGUGAACAACCCCCAGAGAGCCUCUCGGCAAAUGAAUAAGCUUUUCAGAUUUGUGUUUAAUAUACCAGCCAGGCUCCUUUUCUCCGGGAGGCAAUUCGACUGCUUCGCUCGGGACGGUGGAAUUGCUUAUUGAUUUGGUAACGAUUCUGCGUCAGAGGCUCUUUCUUCGCCUUGUUGUUCACCUCUCUG